rnacentral:rRNA from 1 species
AUUGAACGCUGGCGGCAGGCCUAACACAUGCAAGUCGAACGGUAACAGGAAACAGCUUGCUGUUUCGCUGACGAGUGGCGGACGGGUGAGUAAUGUCUGGGAAACCGCCUGAUGGAGGGGGAUAACUACUGGAAACGGUAGCUAAUACCGCAUAACGUCGCAAGACCAAAGAGGGGGACCUUCGGGCCUCUUGCCAUCGGAUGUGCCCAGAUGGGAUUAGCUAGUAGGUGGGGUAACGGCUCACCUAGGCGACGAUCCCUAGCUGGUCUGAGGGGAUGACCAGCCACACUGGAACUGAGACACGGUCCAGACUCCUACGGGAGGCAGCAGUGGGGAAUAUUGCACAAUGGGCGCAAGCCUGAUGCAGCCAUGCCGCGUGUAUGAAGAAGGCCUUCGGGUUGUAAAGUACUUUCAGCGGGGAGGAAGGGAGUAAAGUUAAUACCUUUGCUCAUUGACGUUACCCGCAGAAGAAGCACCGGCUAACUCCGUGC